CACGUAGUUAGCCGUGGCUUAUUCACCAGGUACCUUCAAUUUACCUCGCAAGGUAUUUUUAUCCCCUGGCAAAAGCAGUUUACAACCCAGAAGGCCUUCUUCCUGCACGCGGCAUGGCUGGUUCAGGCUCUCACCCAUUGACCAAUAUUCCCUA
rnacentral:rRNA from 1 species